rnacentral:rRNA from 1 species
UACGUAGGGACCAAGCGUUGUCCGGAAUCAUUGGCGUAAAGAGCGUGUAGGCGGUUUGUUAAGUCUUGCGUGAAAUCUCGGGGCUCAACCCCGAGCGGUCGUGAGAAACUGGCAGGCUAGAGUGCGGGAGAGGAGAGUGGAAUUCCUGGUGUAGCGGUGAAAUGCGCAGAUAUCAGGAAGAACACCCGUGGCGAAGGCGGCUCUCUGGAACGCAACUGACGCUGAGACGCGAAAGCGUGGGGAGCAAACAGG